UGAGAUUUAGUAGAAAUAGGGGUGUGUGAAAAUUUGCUUGCAGAACUAGAAUGGGUCGCCCUAAGGAAGUAGUUGGGCCCGACAACAAGUCAAACAACAAAAAGAAAAAAGGGUAUGAGGGUGCGUGAAUGGAAAAUGGGUGUGUAGAGGAGAAAGCUGGUCCAAACAUAGGCCCAAGGCCUUAUUCUCAACUAAAACACUUGGGGUUCUGCCCUUUCUUCCCAUUCUCGCUCAAACUCCUAAGACCUAAGGUCUCUUCUUCUCUGCAGAAGAAACAGAAACCGCGCUAUCCUCACCUCCACCCAACCGACAGCCGCGAACCGCAGCCCCUAGCGUCGCUAGUGACGACGUCUGACGCCGGAGCCACCGCCAGUUGAGGCAAAAGUUCCCCUUCUGCCGCUCUUUGUGCACAAGAUCAAAGUGCCCUUGUCGUUCGUGAUACGUUCUCGUCCUUGCCAACGACGCCCGUCGCCGUGAACCGCCGCCCAAGACAUUGCCAUCACUGUCGUUCACCACCGUCUAUGGCGUCGCCAGUAAUGUCGCAUGCCGCCGGAGCCAUCGUCCACCACUGCGCCAGGCCCUUUGCUGCAACCCAAACCUUUGAGAAUCGCACGACGACUCUUCUCCUUUCCCUCUUUGCGCU
rnacentral:lncRNA from 1 species